rnacentral:rRNA from 1 species
UUUAAAUGUAAAUUUAUUAUCAAAGUAGUAUUAGUUAUGGUCUUGAAAUUUAAAAAUUUUGGCGGUAUUUUAGUCUAUUUAGAGGAACCUGUUCUAUAAUUGAUAGUCCACGAUAAAUUUUACUUUAUUUAAUUAGCUUAUAUAUCGUCGUUAUUAAGUAUUUUAAAAGAAAAUUAAUAUUUAAGAUUUUUAUAAAAAAAUAUUUCAGAUCAAGGUGUAGUUUAUAAUAAAGAAGAAAUGGGUUACAAUAAAUUUAUUUAUACCGAUUUAUUUAUGAAAAUGGUAAUGAAGUUGGAUUUAAUAGUAAUAAAAUUUAAAUUGAUUUUAUGAUUUAAGCUCUAAAAUGUGU